rfam:Rattus norvegicus chromosome 5, whole genome shotgun sequence.
GGGGAUUUAGCUCAGUGGUAGAGCGCUUGCCUCGUAAGCGCAAGGCCCUGGGUUCGGUUCUCAGCUCCA